UGGGGAAUAUUGCACAAUGGGGGAAACCCUGAUGCAGCGACGCCGCGUGAGCGGAGAAGGUUUUCGAAUCGUAAAGCUCUGUCCUAUGAGAAGAUAAUGACGGUAUCAUAGGAGGAAGCCCCGGCUAAAUACGUGCCAGCAGCCGCGGUAAUACGUAUGGGGCGAGCGUUGUCCGGAAUUAUUGGGCGUAAAGGGUACGUAGGCGGUCUAUUAAGUCAGGUGUGAAAGCGUGAGGCUUAACCUCAUUAAGCACUUGAAACUGAUAGACUUGAGUGAAGGAGAGGAAAGUGGAAUUCCUAGUGUAGCGGUGAAAUGCGUAGAUAUUAGGAGGAAUACCGGUGGCGAAGGCGACUUUCUGGACUUUUACUGACGCUCAGGUACGAAAGCGUGGGGAGCAAACAGG
rnacentral:rRNA from 1 species